CGACUCUCUUGGAUUUCACGUCAUAGCAUAUAUAUACCCGGACUGAGCAUAUUCAAGAAAGACACAAGUGGUUGCCUUGGGGACAAUUUUUCUCUUAACUGCGCAGGAAUAUGAACAAAACACGUGCAUCCAAACACUCGAAAAUGCCUAUUAUAGUACUGUCCCAGUAAGAAGUUCAUGAGGUGCCGCUGCAGCUUGGAUUAUCGUAGAAUAAGAGGAGCCGUCUUAGGAAAUGACUUAACUUAAAAGACAGAUGCCGCCGCUGCGAGGCGAGGGAGCAACUUGUCUGGUCUUGUGGUGCACUCAUUCCCGUUACGAGAAUGAAAUGACGCCCCAGCUUGACUCGAGACCAAGACUCCUUACAACUCGCACCAAUCGCGGCACUGAGCGGACGGAGAUUGAUUGAAAAGGCAAGCCCAGCCGACCCUCUCCCCCCCUAACCGCCUAUCUACUCGUGUU
rnacentral:lncRNA from 1 species